GUGGGGAAUCUUCCGCAAUGGACGAAAGUCUGACGGAGCAACGCCGCGUGAGUGAUGAAGGUCUUCGGAUUGUAAAGCUCUGUUAAUCGGGACGAAAGAGCCUAGUGUGAAUAAUGCUAGGAAGUGACGGUACCGGAAUAGAAAGCCACGGCUAACUACGUGCCAGCAGACGCGGUAAUACGUAGGUGGCAAGAGUUGUCCGGAAUUAUUGGGCGUAAAGCGCGCGCAGGCGGAUCUGCCAGUCUGUCUUAAAAGUGCGGGGCUUAACCCCGUGAUGGGAUGGAAACUACAGAUCUAAAGUAUCGGAGAGGAAAGUGGAAUUCCUAGUGUAGCGGUGAAAUGCGUAGAUAUUAGGAAGAACACCAGUGGCGAAGGCGACUUUCUGGACGAAAACUGACGCUGAGGCGCGAAAGCCAGGGGAGCGAACGGGAUUAGAAACCCGGGUAGUCC
rnacentral:rRNA from 1 species